GACGAACGCUGGCGGCGUGCUUAACACAUGCAAGUCGAACGGUGAAGCGCCUUCCUUUUUGGUGGGUGUGGAUGAGUGGCGAACGGGUGAGUAACACGUGAGUAACCUGCCCCCUUCUUCUGGAUAACCGCAUGAAAGUGUGGCUAAUACGGGAUAUUCUGGGUCUGUCGCAUGAUGGGUCCGGGAAAGAUAUUGUUUCGGUGGGGGAUGGGCUCGCGGCCUAUCAGCUUGUUGGUGGGGUGAUGGCCUACCAAGGCGGUGACGGGUAGCCGGCCUGAGAGGGUGGACGGUCACACUGGGACUGAGACACGGCCCAGACUCCUACGGGAGGCAGCAGUGGGGAAUAUUGCACAAUGGGCGCAAGCCUGAUGCAGCGACGCCGCGUGAGGGAUGGAGGCCUUCGGGUUGUGAACCUCUUUCGCCAGUGAAGCAGGCCUGCCUCGUUUGUGGGUGGGUUGACGGUAGCUGGAUAAGAAGCGCCGGCUAACUACGUG
rnacentral:rRNA from 1 species